rnacentral:lncRNA from 1 species
GGAAAACCCCCUUUAUUAGGCACAAAAAUAUCAAUUAGGAAAUACUCCUUUAGCACUUUGUUCUAAAAUAGUAAAUUUUAAAAUUUGAUUCACAUUGCUUUUCCGUGGUAGAAUAAAUGAAUAUGCUAAGAAUUACAACACCCUGUAGUAUUCCUGGUAAUAGUAACAACCAGAAUAAUCAGAUUAAUAAUCCACUUCCUGUACUCAUAGAUAGUUAACCUGCUUUUUAUGGUGCCUUAGCUACCCAAAGCCUCUGGUGGUCAUCUGCUCCCCUUUUUGACAAAGCCAUCAAAACCCAAUUCUAACAUUCAAGAGAGGGCUGUAUUACAAUGUAAUUUCAAAUAAAAGACAUUAAGUAGUAGAAACACGAUGGCCAUGUUGUAUUUUGAUUCUGGAUCUUUAGUGGACACCUUCAAUUAUUGUUUUGUAAGCUUUAACAAAGUUUUUCCAUUGGAUUCCUUCGCAAGGGUCAAAGACUCUAAAUGGAGGAUCUGAUGCUCAAGAUGGUAAUCAGCCACAACAUAACGGGGAGAGCAAUGAAGACAGCAAAGACAACCAUGAAGCCAGCACGAAGAAAAAGAGAAAAUCCUAAUUCCAGUUGUACCUUUCCCCCUUUUCUUCAGGCCAUCCAGUGAAGAGAGAGAGACUGAAAUAUCUCUGAAGGAUUCUACACUAGAUAACUAGGUUGACAUACCUGGAAUAUAGAGAACACUUGAGAAGUUUGUAAUGGUUUUCAUUUGAAAUAGACUGCUGAAAGUUUUAAAUUUUUAUAAGCAUAGGUUUGAUGUUGAAAACUUGUUUUGAGGGAGAAAAUCCCUUUGUUUUAAAGUAAAGUAAACAUUAUCGCUAAGUGUACUUGUGCAGUAUUAACAGCUACAUUAUACAGUAAAUGUGGGAUAAAAUCCAUUUAGAAAAUGUUAAACUGCUUUUCCAGACAUGGUUGUAGCAUAUUUUCAAUUAGUGUGUGUAUGUUAAUGUGUAAUUGAUAGUAGAACAAAGUUACAUUUUUAAAACUGCUACUUGUAUAAACCUUGCCUCUUUUCCCAAAUACUGUGGGUUUUGUGCAUAGUUUUUACAAACCUUGGAUUUACCAGACUGUCUUUUCACUGUUUGUGGGUUUUGUAGAAGUUACACAUUUUUAUGGUAGAUAAAAUGUUACUUCUAUACAAGUACUCACUCCCUUUUUAUCAAAAGUUAAUUUUAAUCUCACAGUCUACAUUGUGCUACAUUAUCCAGCUUCUUUGGAACAAUGUGUGCUCUGUAUGGUUUUUUUUGGUAUGACAACUAAUUAAGCAACUGACAUGGAACUGAGAAUUCUACAAACUAUAAAACAUUAAUUUUUGAAGGUAAUUUAGUUUUGUGGCUGGGCAUUCAGUGAAGUCUUAGGACUUCUUUGCAGACAACUGACUGGGUAUAUAUAGGAAUGAAUCUGGCUUUAGGGUUAAAUCAUUUAAGGUCCUUUUAUAGGCAGGCACUAGUAACUAAAACUGAAAACUAAGUAAGUUUAUUUUUGAGGAAUGUUGUUAAAAAUGUCUUUAGGAAGUCACUAAAACUUAAUUGGAAGAAAAAAUCAUGAUGCUUAUACAAUAAAUAUGAAUAAAUGUUAUAUAAGGAAACUCACCUAUUUGAAAUCAUGGCUAUAUUGUUUUUAUUUUCUAGAUUCCAAAAAUACAAACACUAGUUGUUCCAGCAUUGUACUUUGAUAAGUCUGUACAUUGACGUGUAUGGACUAAAUCCAGGGUAAAAUCAAUGUUACAAAAUUUAAGGGUAUGUUAACUAAAGGAUAGCAUUUCUAAGAUAUUUUGAAUAUUAGGGUCAUUUGGCACUUCUCAGCAAGUAGGAUACUUCUCAUGUUUUGAAAUUAUAUGAAUAUGGAAAAAAAUGGCUUAAGACCAGCGUCUCUGUAUGACAUUGUGUGGUUGACCCUCUGAGAUAACUGUUUUCAUCUACAGAAUUGCAUUUUUGCUUUUAAAGAGGUCUUAUAAUGGAACUAGGAAUCACCGUUUUGAGAGAACCUGCAUAUAUACCAGUCAUUAUCUGUUUGGUCCUUAUACAGUUUUAACUUACUUAGAUUUAUUCUAGUUAAGCCAUAAGUUCAACGUGUAAACUUGUUUUCAUUAAAGAAUUUUUCUAUCAAACUCUGCUAGUAAAUUACUUUCUUGCUAUUUACAAGAGUAAGUGAUGGAAUUCUGGGUUUGCU